CAGGGUAUUUAGAGUUGAAAACAUUAUAUACAUUUUAUAAAUAUUUAAGGAAAAUUUGAAGUUAAGUUCAGAAGGGUGAAUGUACUGGGAAAGUGCGUUGACCAAGCUAACUGAACUGUUAUUGAUUUACUUUUCUUGGGGAAUAACAAAUUCUCUGAAUUGACAUAAAUGAGGGUGAAACGUUCAAACUGGUGUUCCUACACAAAUUGGGUGGAUGGACAUUUGGGAUACAGAUGGUCAGUUUGGUCAGUUUGUCAAUAAAGGGGCAUGCAUAGGAUCUGAAAUGAUUUUGAUUAAGUAUCUAGAAGCGUCUACUAGUCUGAGAUAUUAGUUAGAUAUGCCAACGUUGGGUUGAUGUAUGGCUUAAGGAUAACUAGAAAUGUCAUUUUAUCACUGGAAGAAAUUGAUGGUACCAAAUAAAGUCUCCGAAAGGGACUAAUGAAAGUAACUAAUUAUCAAGAUUGGAUAUGAGUCAUUUCUGAGGAGGUAGGACAUCAUUUCGGGGGGAGGAGCCCAGAAAUUGUGAAGAGAACUAAAAACUAGUUGACUGAGAGAGAGCGGGAGAGACUGAGCCCUGCUGUUGACUUGAGAGGUUCUCUCUGCAUAUUGAGAGAUUGGCUCAGAUGAAAUUGUAACUUUAGGAAUUGGAAAAGAAACCAACAAGUUCUUCCAGGAGAUGUGUGAAUCUGUGUUACAUGUAAACCAGGACAUCUAGGAAAUAUUUGAGGACCUUUGUGAAAGAAUUCAUGUUAAAAUAAACCGGACUUGAACACCAUACUGGACUUAUCCUUGAUUAUCCAUCUAGCUACAUCAUCCCCAGAACCAGAGUGGCUAGACAGAUUGCCUAGGUAAUAAGGGUACAACACCCCGAAAACCUAAGGUAAUAAAUGAUAUGUUUGGAGUAAUAU